rnacentral:rRNA from 1 species
UACGUAGGGUGCGAGCGUUGUCCGGAAUUAUUGGGCGUAAAGAGCUCGUAGGCGGUUUGUCGCGUCUGCUGUGAAAACUCGGGGCUUAACCCCGGGCCUGCAGUGGGUACGGGCAGACUAGAGUGCGGUAGGGGAGACUGGAAUUCCUGGUGUAGCGGUGAAAUGCGCAGAUAUCAGGAGGAAUACCGGUGGCGAAGGCGGCAUCCUGGACCGGCAUUGACGCUGAUGAGCGAAAGCUAGGGGAGCAAACGGG